rnacentral:rRNA from 1 species
GUGCCAGCAGCCGCGGUAAAACGUAGGAGGCAAGCGUUAUCCGGAUUUACUGGGCGUAAAGCGCGUGCAGGCGGUUCCAUAAGUGGGAUGUGAAAGCUCCUGGCUCAACUGGGAGAGGUCGUUCCAGACUGUGGGACUGGAGGAUGGUAGAGGGAGGUGGAAUUCCGGGUGUAGUGGUGAAAUGCGUAGAUAUCCGGAGGAACACCAGUGGCGAAAGCGGCCUCCUGGACCAUUUCUGACGCUCAGACGCGAAAGCUAGGGUAGCAAACGGGAUUAGAUACCCCCGUAGUCC